GUUUUGGUGAUCAUGAUGUGUUUGUAGAUCUUACUUUACUGGACAUUCUUCUUGCUACAAUUAUCUCUAUCUAUAAUGAACUUGGCCCAGUGGAAAAUAUAUACUAAAGAUUUACAAAAAUUUACAAAAAUUUAUGAAAAUUGUUAAAAAAUGACUAUAAAGGGCAAUAACUCCUUAAGGGGUAAACUGACGAUUUUGGUCAUGUUGACUUAUUUGUAG
rnacentral:lncRNA from 1 species